rnacentral:rRNA from 1 species
AACGAACGCUGGCGGCAUGCCUAACACAUGCAAGUCGAACGAGACCUUCGUGUCUAGUGGCGCACGGGUGCGUAACGCGUGGUAACCUGCCCUUAGGUUCGGAAUAACUCCCCGAAAGGGGUGCUAAUACCGGAUAAUGUCUUCGGACCAAAGAUUUAUCGCCUUUGGAUGGGGCCGCGUUGGAUUAGCUAGUUGGUAGGGUAAAAGCCUACCAAGGCGACGAUCCAUAGCUGGUCUGUGAGGAUGAUCAGCCGCACUGGGACUGAGACACGGCCCAGACUCCUACGGGAGGCAGCAGUGGGGAAUCUUGGACAAUGGGCGAAAGCCUGCUCCAGCGAUGCCGCGUGAGUGAUCAAGGCGUUAGGGUUGUAAAGCUCUUUUACCCGGGAUGAUAAUGACAGUACCGGGAGAAUAAGCACCGGCUAACUCCGUG